rnacentral:tRNA from 1 species
GGGGCUGUAGCUCAGCUGGCUAGAGCGCCUCGUUCGCAACGAGGAGGUCGGCGGUUCGAGUCCGCUCAGCUCCA